CAAUAGCGUAUAUUAAAGUUGUUGCAGUUAAAAAGCUCGUAGUUGGAUUUCUGGUUGGAGCGACCGGUCGGGCAUUGAUUUGUCUGCACUGGAGUCGGUUCUGGCCAUCCUCUUGGAAAGUGCGUCUGUCAUUAAGUUGUCGGGCGUAUGAUCCAGGUCUUUUACUGUGAAAAAAUUAGAGUGUUUAAAGCAGGCCUUCGCCUUGAAUACAUUAGCAUGGAAUAAUAAGAUAGGACUUUGGUCUAUUUUGUUGGUUUGCAGACCGAAGUAAUGAUUAAUAGGGAUAGUUGGGGGUAUUUACAUUCCAAUGUCAGAGGUGAAAUUCUUAGAUUUUUGGAAGAUAAACUUAUGCGAAAGCAUUUACCAAGGAUGUUUUCAUUAA
rnacentral:rRNA from 1 species